UUUUUUUAAGAGUUUGAUCCUGGCUCAGGAUGAACGUUGGUGGCGUGCCUGAGAUAUGCAAGUCGAAUGCACCUGUCGCAAGGCAGGUAAAUGGCGGACGGCUGAGUAACACGUAGGAACCAACCCCAAAAUAAGGGAUAGCCCCGCGAAAGCGGGGAUAAUACCUUAUAGUCCCCGCUUUUUGUGGGGUAAAGCGUUUAACGGCGCGUUUUGGGACGGUCCUGCGGCCUAUCAGGUAGUUGGUGGGGUAAUAGCCUACCAAGCCUAUGACAGGUAGCUGGCCCGAGAGGGUGUUCAGCCAGAGGGGUACUGAGAUACGGACCCCAUUUCUACGGAAAGCAGCAAUCAGGAAUAGUCGGCAAUGGGCGAAAGCCUGACCGCGCAACGCCGCGUGUAGGAAUAAGCUCUAACGAGUGUAAACUACUGUUGUAAGGGAAGAAUCCCGAUGUUACAUCGGGGUGACUGUACCUUAUAAGAAAGGGGCCGCUAACUGCGUGCCAGAAGCGUCGGUAACACGUGGGCCCCAAACGUUAUCCGGUUUUAUUGGGCGUAAAGGGUCGUGUAGGCUUUCUUAUAAGUCUUGUCUUAAAUACUAUGGCUUAACCAUAGGAAAGGGCAGGAAACUAUAAGAAUUGAAUUUUCUUUAGGGAAACUGGAACUUAGGGAGGAGUAGUGAAAUGCGUUGAUACCCUAGGGAACACCGGUGGCGAAGGCGAGUUUCUAAAAGAUAAUUGACGCUGAGACACGAAAGCU
rnacentral:rRNA from 1 species